UUUUGACUGAGUGGAGUCUGCCUAGCCAUGAGAUGGGUUUGUCUGUCCACUGCUCCAGGUCCCUCAGGAGUGUGCGAAUCAGUGGGGAGUAGUUAGUCUCGUGUAGGUGUUCGUGUUGCGCCGUGAGUCUAACCCCUAGGAAGGGUAUGUUGUCAGUAGUGAUGGGUAGGCGAUAUCUUUCAGAUAUUUGUGCUCUAUCCUGGGCCGGGAGGUGAAAUGGCAGUGCCAUGGAUUUGUUGAGGUUUACUUUAUAGCCCGAUAGGGCUCCAUAUGUGACCAACAGGUCCGUCAUGUGGCCCAUGGAGGUCAG